UACAGAGGGUGCAAGCGUUAAUCGGAAUUACUGGGCGUAAAGCGUGCGUAGACGGUUGCGUAAGUCAGAUGUGAAAGCCCCGGGCUCAACCUGGGAAUUGCAUUUGAGACUGCGUAGCUAGGGUGCGGAAGAGGGAAGCGGAAUUUCCGGUGUAGCGGUGAAAUGCGUAGAUAUCGGAAGGAACGCCGGUGGCGAAAGCGGCGUGCUGGACCUCUUCUGACGCUGAUGCGCGAAAGCCAGGGGAGCGAACGGG
rnacentral:rRNA from 1 species